rnacentral:tRNA from 1 species
GGGGAUGUAGCUCAGUUGGGAGAGCGCUGCCCUUACAAGGCAGAGGUCGUCGGUUCAAGCCCGGCCGUCCCCACCA